rnacentral:rRNA from 1 species
GUGGGGAAUAUUGCACAAUGGGCGAAAGCCUGAUGCAGCAACGCCGCGUGAGCGAUGAAGGCCUUUGGGUCGUAAAGCUCUGUCCUGGGGGAAGAAAAAAAUGACGGUACCCUAGGAGGAAGCCCCGGCUAACUACGUGCCAGCAGCCGCGGUAAUACGUAGGGGGCAAGCGUUAUCCGGAAUUAUUGGGCGUAAAGAGUGCGUAGGUGGUCUUGUAAGCGCGGGGUGAAAGGCUAUGGCUUAACCAUAGUAAGCCUUGCGAACUGUGAGACUUGAGUGCAGGAGAGGAAAGCGGAAUUCCUAGUGUAGCGGUGAAAUGCGUAGAUAUUAGGAGGAACACCAGUGGCGAAGGCGGCUUUCUGGACUGUAACUGACACUGAGGCACGAAAGCGUGGGGAGCAAACAGGAUUAGAUACCCCUGUAGUCC